rnacentral:other from 19 species
AAACAGGCUCCCCCAACUGACACAAACCGUGCAACUUGAAACUCCGCCUGGUCUUUCCAGGUCUAGAGGGGUGACACUUUGUACUGUGUUUGGCUCCGCGUUCGAUCCACCGGCGAGUGUUAGUAACACCACUGCUACUUCGUAGCGGAGCAUGACGGCCGUGGGAACCCCUCCUUGGUAACAAGGACCCACGGGGCCGAAAGCCACGUCCACAUGGACCCGUCAUGUGUGCAACCCCAGCACGGUAGCUUUGCUGUGAAACUCACUUUAAAGUGACAUUGAUACCGGUACCCAAAUACUGGUGACAGGCUAAGGAUGCCCUUCAGGUACCCCGAGGUAACAUGCGACACUCGGGAUCUGAGAAGGGGACUGGGGCUUCUGUAAAAGCGCUCAGUUUAAAAAGCUUCUAUGUCUGGAUAGGUGACCGGAGGCCGGCACCUUUUCUUUUACUAUUUGACUCUA